GAACAAGACAAGAGUGGGUAUCAACUCUAUUCUCAUUUCUCCUUGUUUUUGCUCCUGUGCUGCUUCUUGUGAAUAGUGCAUAUUUGCUCAAGAGUUGCAGUCCACAGUGAGUCCUUCACCUGGAAAAAAACCACAUGGCCGUAAAGCUCCUGGGUUUAUAAUCUGUUAAGAUUGAGAUGGAGGUCAUGGAGGUUCAUGUGUAAGGGAGACCAUUGAUUUAUCCUGCCACAAUUUUAUGGCAAAGAUGCAGAGCAAUUUGAGUUGAGCAGCUACUCUUCUGCACCAGAUUGUAGGUACUCUUAAGUGUGCUCUAAACUCGUUGUUGUUGUUGUUUUUUUUUACUUUAUUUAUUGAAAUAUAUUUGACAUAUGCAUACAUACAUAUCUUGGUAUGCUCUCAUAAACACACUUAUUUUAGGUUUGGAAAUUGAUGUGAUUUUUGGGUUUUCAGUUGCAAUUUUGUUUGGACAAUGUCGUGCUUCAAAUGACAAUGUCAUGCUGGGGUCAUAGUGCUUGAAGAGUCCAGAAUAUAUUAUUGGAUGUGAUGGACCAAAGUACUGUAAGUAGGAUAAACCUAAGUUCUUUACUCUCGGUAUGCCUGAUAAAUUUAACCAUGUUACCAUCAUAAUUAAUUUUCUAGGGUAACAAGUGGCCAGGUUUUUCGAUAGAAAGAGAGGGCCUUUGCUAGGUUUGUCAUUUCUGUUAAGUUGUUGGAAUUUGAUUGCUUCCUUAUCUUGUAACUUGUAAGGCUAUUUAAAGCCGGCCAGUUGAUGCAUAAACUUCGUUGAGGUAUUUCAGAUUGUGUGUGUUCCUAAGUUUGUGUUUAACUGUUCAACAAUACUGUUUAUGGUAACAGAGCCCCAACACAGGGGCCUGACCUACAGCAAUAGAAACAGCAUAUAUCUUUGUGAUAGUGAGUGCGAGAGAAUCGCAACAGAAGAGAAUUUUGUGCCCGAGUGGAUUCCAAAAUUCAAUGUUCAAUAUCCACUGGGCGAUGUUGAUGGAGAAUUUUCUCUGAUUUAAGGAAUUUUGGGGCCUCAUAGGGAAUGGGAUCCUGGCAGAGACACAAGGAGUUGAACAACUAGUGACUUCCUCUACGAUGGUGGCAGAGAGGGGACAGCUUACAGAAGCACAAAGUAGGCAGAUUGAGGAGCAGCGUAAGUGGAUUGAGGAGUAGAAGUUAAAUGAUCUCAAAGUCAAGAAUUACUUGUUCCAGGCCAUAGAUCGAACUGUACUAAUGAUGAUUUUCGACAGGGAAAGCUCUAAGAGUAUAUGUGACUCACUGAAGCGAAAGUAUCAGGGCACAACAAGAGUGAAGAGGGCUCAGCUGCAGGCCUUAAGGAAGGGUGGCAUUCUAUGACUAGAAGUUAGCAUGUACUGCGAGAAAAUAGCUGGGAUACCAAAGUGAUUGAAAGAGUUUCCAGUAGAAACCCUUGCAUGAUAUUUCUCGAGGUAGUCUGGUUUUCUGGACUAUUGUAAGUUGUGGGAAAUAGUUAAAUAAUGGGGUUUAGCAAAGUAAUAGAACACUGAGGAGGAGGUGCAAACUCAUUGUCUGUCUGUAGUAGGGUUAAUUUCACAUAUGAUUUGAACUCCACUUUGGACUGGGAUUUGGGAUUUGAAAGGAAUUUGAGUGACUUGGUAAUGGAGU